CCGUCUCGUCAUGGGUGGAUAUGGCGACGGGUGAGUAACACGUGGGUGAUCUGCCCUGCACUUCGGGAUAAGCCUGGGAAACUGGGUCUAAUACCGGAUAGGACCUCGGGAUGCAUGUUCCGGGGUGGAAAGGUUUUCCGGUGCAGGAUGGGCCCGCGGCCUAUCAGCUUGUUGGUGGGGUAACGGCCCACCAAGGCGACGACGGGUAGCCGGCCUGAGAGGGCGACCGGCCACACUGGGACUGAGACACGGCCCAGACUCCUACGGGAGGCAGCAGUGGGGAAUAUUGCACAAUGGGCGCAAGCCUGAUGCAGCGACGCCGCGUGAGGGAUGACGGCCUUCGGGUUGUAAACCUCUUUCAGUACCGACGAAGCGCAAGUGACGGUAGGUACAGAAGAAGCACCGUCCAAAUUAAUUCCCAGCAUCCGCGGUAAUUGUAGGGGUGCGAGCAAUUGUCUGGAGUUAUUGGGCGUAAAGAGCUCGUCGGCAGGUGUGUCGCGUAGUCUGUGAAAACCCGCAGCUCA
rnacentral:rRNA from 1 species